UACGUAGGGUGCAAGCGUUGUCCGGCAUCAUUGGGCGUAAAGAGCGUGUAGGCGGCUCGAUCAGUCUGCUGUGAAAGCCCAGGGCUCAACCCUGGGAUGCCGGUAGAUACUGUCGAGCUAGAGUCCGGAAGAGGCGAGUGGAAUUCCUGGUGUAGCGGUGAAAUGCGCAGAUAUCAGGAGGAACACCAAUGGCGAAGGCAGCUCGCUGGGACGGUACUGACGCUGAGACGCGAAAGCGUGGGGAGCAAACAGG
rnacentral:rRNA from 1 species